GAUGAACGCUGGCGGCGUGCCUAAUACAUGCAAGUCGAGCGAACGGACGAGAAGCUUGCUUCUCUGAUGUUAGCGGCGGACGGGUGAGUAACACGUGGAUAACCUACCUAUAAGACUGGGAUAACUUCGGGAAACCGGAGCUAAUACCGGAUGAUAUUUUGAACCGCAUGGUUCAAAAGUGAAAGACGGUCUUGCUGUCACUUAUAGAUGGAUCCGCGCUGCAUUAGCUAGUUGGUAUGGUAAUGGCUUACCAAGGCAACGAUGCAUAGCCGACCUGAGAGGGUGAUCGGCCACACUGGAACUGAGACACGGUCCAGACUCCUACGGGAGGCAGCAGUAGGGAAUCUUCCGCAAUGGGCGAAAGCCUGACGGAGCAACGCCGCGUGAGUGAUGAAGGUCUUCGGAUCGUAAAACUCUGUUAUUAGGGAAGAACAUAUGUGUAAGUAACUGUGCACAUCUUGACGGUACCUAAUCAGAAAGCCACGGCUAACUACGUG
rnacentral:rRNA from 1 species